AGGAAUAUUUCAAUCUUGUUGUGGAAGCUGUACAGAAUUCUGUCCACCAAAUACACCAAGCAUACAAAAAUCCCGAUUUGAAACUGGAUUCACGUGCAGUCACUGAUCUCAUACCAUUUGUGGAUAGAAAGGAGAAGAACAACACACCGUUGUUUGAAGUUAAAAAUGGUGAAAUACAUCGCAGGUCAGACAUCAACGAUCUUCAAGAUAAGAAAACCAUCACCAACUGGUUGGUAUCUUCCACUGCUUUGAAAUUGCAAUCGUAUAAGCCGCAAAAUUCUGCAAUAUAACAUCUCGUAGUUCAGGUUUAUUUAUGGCAAUUGGUUGUUUUUAUCUUACGAAUUUUUCAAUGGACGUUUCGGUCAAGAUACAAUUGUCUGAGCUUCAUUAGCUAAAAUGUUGAUGGCAGCGGAAAUUGUUCAAAAGUAAUAGACUUAAGGAAAAAGGUGAUUAAUAACAGUUUUGUAAUCAGGCGGUAAAAAUAUAUGUUCAGGGUUCGCA